UACGUAGGGCGCAAGCGUUGUCCGGAAUUAUUGGGCGUAAAGAGCUCGUAGGCGGCUUGUCACGUCGAUUGUGAAAGCCCGAGGCUUAACCUCGGGUCUGCAGUCGAUACGGGCUAGCUAGAGUGUGGUAGGGGAGAUCGGAAUUCCUGGUGUAGCGGUGAAAUGCGCAGAUAUCAGGAAGAACACCGGUGGCGAAGGCGGCUCUCUGGGCCUUACCUGACGCUGAGGAGCGAAAGCGUGGGGAUCAAACAGG
rnacentral:rRNA from 1 species